rnacentral:rRNA from 1 species
GGAGCCUACGGGGGGCAGCAGUGAGGAAUAUUGGUCAAUGGGCGGGAGCCUGAACCAGCCAAGUCGCGUGAAGGAAGAAGGUACUUAGUAUUGUAAACUUCUUUUGUCGGGGAACAAAGGCGGAGACGCGUCUCCGGAUGAGUGUACCCGAAGAAAAAGCAUCGGCUAACUCCGUGCCAGCAGCCGCGGUAAUACGGAGGAUGCGAGCGUUAUCCGGAUUUAUUGGGUUUAAAGGGUGCGUAGGCGGAAUGCCAAGUCAGCGGUAAAAUCGCGGGGCUCAACCCCAUCCAGCCGUUGAAACUGGG